rnacentral:rRNA from 1 species
CUUGCUCUUCAAAUCGAGUGGCGGACGGGUGAGUAACGCGUGAGGAACCUGCCUUUCAGAGGGGGACAACAGUUGGAAACGACUGCUAAUACCGCAUAACACAUAGGUGUCGCAUGGCACUUAUGUCAAAGAUUUAUCGCUGAAAGAUGGCCUCGCGUCUGAUUAGAUAGUUGGUGAGGUAACGGCCCACCAAGUCGACGAUCAGUAGCCGGACUGAGAGGUUGAACGGCCACAUUGGGACUGAGAUACGGCCCAGACUCC